UACGGAGGGUGCGAGCGUUGUCCGGAAUCACUGGGCGUAAAGGGCGCGUAGGCGGUCUGCUAAGCGUGCGGUGAAAGCCUGGGGCUCAACCCCAGGUCUGCCGUGCGAACUGGUGGACUCGAGCACUGUAGAGGCAGGUGGAAUUCCGGGUGUAGCGGUGGAAUGCGUAGAGAUCCGGAAGAACACCGGUGGCGAAGGCGGUUAGCUGGGCAGUUGCUGACACUGAGGCGCGGACAGCGUGGGGAGCAAACAGG
rnacentral:rRNA from 1 species